GAUGAACGCUGGCGGCGUGCCUAAUACAUGCAAGUCGAGCGAACGGACGAGAAGCUUGCUUCUCUGAUGUUAGCGGCGGACGGGUGAGUAACACGUGGAUAACCUACCUAUAAGACUGGGAUAACUUCGGGAAACCGGAGCUAAUACCGGAUAAUAUUUUGAACCGCAUGGUUCAAAAGUGAAAGACGGUCUUGCUGCCACUUAUAGAUGGAUCCGCGCUGCAUUAGCUAGUUGGUAAGGUAACGGCUUGCCAAGGCAACGAUGCAUAGCCGACCUGAGAGGGUGAUCGGCCACACUGGAACUGAGACACGGUCCAGACUCCUACGGGAGGCAGCAGUAGGGAAUCUUCCGCAAUGGGCGAAAGCCUGACGGAGCAACGCCGCGUGAGUGAUGAAGGUCUUCGGAUCGUAAAACUCUGUUAUUAGGGAAGAACAUAUGUGUAAGUAACUGUGCACAUCUUGACGGUACCUAAUCAGAAAGCCACGGCUAACUACGUGCCAGCAGCCGCGGUAAUACGUAGGUGGCAAGCGUUAUCCGGAAUUAUUGGGCGUAAAGCGCGCGUAGGCGGUUUUUUAAGUCUGAUGUGAAAGCCCACGGCUCAACCGUGGAGGGUCAUUGGAAACUGGAAAACUUGAGUGCAGAAGAGGAAAGUGGAAUUCCAUGUGUAGCGGUGAAAUGCGCAGAGAUAUGGAGGAACACCAGUGGCGAAGGCGACUUUCUGGUCUGUAACUGACGCUGAUGUGCGAAAGCGUGGGGAUCAAACAGGAUUAGAUACCCUGGUAGUCCACGCCGUAAACGAUGAGUGCUAAGUGUUAGGGGGUUUCCGCCCCUUAGUGCUGCAGCUAACGCAUUAAGCACUCCGCCUGGGGAGUACGACCGCAAGGUUGAAACUCAAAGGAAUUGACGGGGACCCGCACAAGCGGUGGAGCAUGUGGUUUAAUUCGAAGCAACGCGAAGAACCUUACCAAAUCUUGACAUCCUUUGACAACUCUAGAGAUAGAGCUUUCCCCUUCGGGGGACAAAGUGACAGGUGGUGCAUGGUUGUCGUCAGCUCGUGUCGUGAGAUGUUGGGUUAAGUCCCGCAACGAGCGCAACCCUUAAGCUUAGUUGCCAUCAUUAAGCUGGGCACUCUAAGUUGACUGCCGGUGACAAACCGGAGGAAGGUGGGGAUGACGUCAAAUCAUCAUGCCCCUUAUGAUUUGGGCUACACACGUGCUACAAUGGACAAUACAAAGGGCAGCGAAACCGUGAGGUCAAGCAAAUCCCAUAAAGUUGUUCUCAGUUCGGAUUGUAGUCUGCAACUCGACUACAUGAAACUGGAAUCGCUAGUAAUCGUAGAUCAGCAUGCUACGGUGAAUACGUUCCCGGGUCU
rnacentral:rRNA from 1 species